rnacentral:lncRNA from 1 species
GGCUGGCGCUGUAAGCCAGACAGGAGGGGCAGCGGCUCAGGUCAGGGAGGGCCACGGAAAGGAGGGGCCGGGCUCUGAGCCCGCCCUGCAAGGUGGAGCCCCUGGAUGAGAAAAAGACAAGACAAAAGGAGGGGAGUCUGGAGUCAAAAGGCCCCGUCUCUAAUUCUGACCACGGUCUUAGUAAGCUGUGUGUCUUUGAAGCCAUUGAAACUUUCCAUGUUUAGUUUAUUGGGUAGUAAAAUAAAACGGGACCUUCACAUGCAAUUUGUGGGGUUUUGUGAGAAGUAAUAACGGUCAUGUGUUCUGGAAUCUUGCUGUGCUCCAAAACGGCCACUUCCUCUUUGCUGCCUGCUUUGCAGCGCUUGCUUGUGUGGGAAGCAGACUCCUCGGGUUUCUGGCGCAGCCUCGCUCCCUCCCCCAGCACUUGUCGUAAGAAAAUGCAUGAAACACAACUCAGGUUGGCCUUACCACCGAGGAAGGGCUUGGACUGCGGCAGAGAUGCCAGCCCUCUCCCAGACCGACGCAGGCGCGUGUCAUCAGCAAAUUCCACCGGCUUGCCAGGGACAGAGCUGACAUUUACACACCCACAGCACCAGGCAGCAGCAACCAUGCCGGUAAAUGUCUAAUGAGGGGUUGAUCUUCAGAAAUAAAUAUUUGACAGCUAG